rnacentral:rRNA from 1 species
AGAGUUUGAUCCUGGCUCAGAUUGAACGCUGGCGGUAUGCUUAAGACAUGCAAGUCGAACGGAAUCUUCGGAUUCAGUGGCGGACGGGUGAGUAACACGUGGGAAUCUACUGAGUAGUGGGGGACAGCCCGGCGAAAGCCGGAUUAAUACCGCAUACGCCCUACGGGGGAAAGCAGGGGAUCUUCGGACCUUGCGCUAAUAGAUGAGCCUAAGUCAGAUUAGCUAGUUGGUAGGGUAAUGGCCUACCAAGGCAACGAUGAGUAGCUGGUCUGAGAGGAUGAUCAGCCACACUGGAACUGAAACACGGUCCAGACUCCUACGGGAGGCAGCAGUGGGGAAUAUUGCGCAAUGGGCGAAAGCCUGACGCAGCAACGCCGUGUGAGGGAUGAAGGCUUUCGGGUCGUAAACCUCUGUCGGAAGGGAAGAACGGGCAUUGGUCUAAUAGGCCUUUGUUUUGACGGUACCUUUAGAGGAAGCACCGGCUAACUCCGUGCCAGCAGCCGCGGUAAUA